ACGAACGCUGGCGGCGCGCCUAACACAUGCAAGUCGAGCGGGAAGCUUUUUAAGGAUUCUUCGGAUGAAUUAAAAAGUGGAGAGCGGCGGACGGGUGAGUAACGCGUGAGAAACCUGCCCUAUACAGGGGGAUAGCCAUUGGAAACGAUGAUUAAUACCCCAUAUGACCACAGUAUCGCAUGAUACAGCGGUGAAAACUCCGGUGGUAUAGGAUGGUCUCGCGUCUGAUUAGCUAGUUGGUGGGGUAACGGCCUACCAAGGCGACGAUCAGUAGCCGGCCUGAGAGGGUGACCGGCCACACUGGAACUGAGACACGGCCCAGACUCCUACGGGAGGCAGCAGUGGGGAAUAUUGCACAAUGGGCGAAAGCCUGAUGCAGCGACGCCGCGUGAGGGAUGACGGCCUUCGGGUUGUAAACCGUCUUUUCAGCAGGGACGAAGCGCGAGUGACGGUACCUGCAGAAGAAGCACCGGCUAACUACGUGCCAGCCGCCGCGGUAA
rnacentral:rRNA from 1 species